rnacentral:rRNA from 1 species
UACGAAGGGGGCUAGCGUUACUCGGAUUGACUGGGCGUAAAGGGCGCGUAGGCGGCUUGUAAAGUCAGACGUGAAAUUCCUGGGCUCAACCUGGGGGCUGCGUUUGAUACGUGCGGGCUUGAGUUCGGAAGAGGGUCGUGGAAUUCCCAGUGUAGAGGUGAAAUUCGUAGAUAUUGGGAAGAACACCGGUGGCGAAGGCGGCGACCUGGUCCGAUACUGACGCUGAGGCGCGAAAGCGUGGGGAGCAAACAGG